GGAAGUGAACCUCUCAGUACCUAGAGGAAGAGAAAACAACCGUGAUUCCGAUAGUAGUGGCGAGCGAACUCGGAACAGCCUAAACCAGGUGAUUCGAAAGGAAAAUCUGGGGUUGCAGGACCACAAUAUCCUGCUGAGUCAUCGGGCUCCGGCUCGAGGAUUUAGCAGGUUAAAAGAGGUAAUGAAAGCGAUAGGAGAAUGGUCUGACGAAAGGCCAGCCAUAGAGGGUAAUAGCCCCGUAUUCGAAAUUGCAAUCAUGCUUCAAGUGGCUCCUAAGUACCGCGGGACACGAGAAACCCUGCGGGAAUCUGCCGGGACCAUCCGGUAAGGCUAAAUACUCACUUGCGACCGAUAGUGAACUAGUACCGUGAGGGAAAGGUGAAAAGUACCCCUGUGAGGGGAGUGAAAUAGUACCUGAAACCGCAUGCCUACAAGCAGUGGGAGGGCUAUGGCCGCAAGGCAAAGCCUGACCUCGUGCCUAUUGAAUAAUGAGCUGGCUAGUUUGUGUUAGUGGCGAGGUUAAGCGAAAGCGAGCCGUAGCGAAAGCGAGUCUGAAUAGGGCGAUGAGUCGCUGGCACAAGACGCGAAGCGGGAUGAUCUACCCUUGGCCAGGAUGAAGUCGGUGUAACAACCGAUGGAGGUCCGAACUAGUGUUGGUUGAAAACAGCUUGGAUGAGCUGAGGGUAGGGGUGAAAGGCUAAUCAAAUUCCGUGAUAGCUCGUUCUCUCCGAAAUAGCUUUAGGGCUAGCCUCGUGUGGUCCGCCCCGGUGGUAGAGAUCUGGUUGAACUAGGGGGCUUCCCAGCCUACCGAAUUCAGUCAAACUGCGAAUGCCGGGAGCGAGGAGCACGGGAGUCAGACAGUCAGGGCUAAGCUUGAUUGUCAAAAGGGGAAGAGCCCAGACCAUCAACUAAGGCCCCCAAGUACAUGCUAAGUGGGAAAGGAAGUCGGGAGGCUCAAACAGCGAGGAGGUUGGCUUAGAAGCAGCCAUCCUUUAAAGAAAGCGUAAUAGCUCACUCGUCGAGCCGCCCGGUACCGACAAUCCACCGGGGCUCAAGCAUGUCGCCGAAGUUAUGGAAGUGCGCAAGCACUUGGUAGGAGAGCGUUCCCAACGCAAUCAAGGCCGACCGGAAGGACGGCUGGAGUGUUGGGAAGAGACUCUGCCAGCAUAAGUAGCGAUAAACGAGGUGAGAACCCUCGUCGCCGUAAGUCUAAGGUUUCCUGAGAAAGGUUAAUCCGCUCAGGGUUAGUCGGAGCCUAAGGUGAGGCCGAAAGGCGUAGCUGAUGGACACACGGUUAAUAUUCCGUGACUUCCGUAGGAGAUACCGAUGCGGGGACGCAGUUCCAAGCUCGCGGUUGGCAAUGGUUUCCAAUCGUGGGGGAGGGAAGAUCUGGAGAGGUAAAUCCGCCAGAUCGUCUGCCAGGAAAAGCCGCUAAGGGCCGAAGGAAUCCGUACCACAAACCGACACAGGUGGACAAGUUGAAUAUACUCAGGCGCUCGGGUGAUUGGUUGUUCAGGAACUAGGCAAAUUAACCCCGUAACUUCGGGAGAAGGGGUGCCUCAGCAAUGAGGUCGCAGUGAAUUGCGAAGGGCGACUGUUUAACAAAAACACAGGUCUCUGCAAAGUCUAAAACGACGUAUAGGGGCUGACGCCUGCCCGGUGCUGGAAGGUUAAAAGGAGGGGUUAGCGCAAGCGAAGCUCUGAAUUGAAGCCCCAGUGAACGGCGGCCGUAACUAUAACGGUCCUAAGGUAGCGAAAUUCCUUGUC
rnacentral:rRNA from 1 species